CGUGAGCGCGAUUUCGUCGCGCCGCGCACUUGCUCCAAGAGCCCUCCCGACAUAACGCGCGCGCGUGACAUUGUGUAAAAGUUCGAAGAUAAAAUAAAAAUCGCACAAAAAUGCUUUUUCGGGUUUGAGCAUAGCUGCCGAGUUUUCUGAUAAUAAGGGGGAGCUUUCGAAGCGUAGCCUUCGAGCUAACGACACUGUACGGCAAAGAGGACCUUUUGGCCGUUAGUGCACACAGUUCUCGCCUCAGUUUGCCUCUGAAUCUCGCAGAGGUCGGAGGUCGUCUGAUCUUCGGUGUACGUUCGCGCGUAUUUUUUAUUUUUUCGUUAAAAUUAUAUUUUCAAAGUGUUACACUAUUGCGGAAAACGAAGCAUUAGAAUAAUCAUACAACAUUUUAAUGAGUUGUCAUUGAAAUCAGUCGAUAAAGAACAAUGAUAAAAAGUGUGUGUCCCUGUUAAGUCCCUCGCUACAAAUCACCAAUCUUAUUAUUAUUAAAUCAUGAAUUGUUAAUACAGUGAUGCAAUCCGUGUUUAUAGCACGACGAAUGUGCAUGAAAGAGUGUUUCCUCGGUAUUCGAUAAUUCAAACAUUUUCAUUUACACCGAAUAUACGAAAAGGUACAUGAAACAAAUAUUGGACUGAUGCUCUCCCACGCGUACUCUUUUAUACCAUCUCUCAUUUUGUGACGAUCGAAUGAAGAACGAUGGUGAACCGCGAAAGGAGGAUCCUGGUGGUCCUUGCUUUGCUGAACAUCGCAAUGAUGAUUUGUGGGAGCGUUGCGAGUACGACGGAUCCCGCGGACGAGGACAUACCCGAGGAGCGAAAAAACAACGGAACUCUUGUGACAACAACGAAGCGAUCUUUGCCGGAUCGUUGCCUCGUCAGAACCGAGAGCGGACCGUGCAAGCAUUACAUACACAAAUGGACCUUCAGCAAGGCCGAAGGGAAGUGCAAAACCUUCGUCUACGGUGGCUGCCUCGGAAACGAAAAUCGUUUCAAUUCCCAGCUCGAGUGUCUUCAUCACUGCAUCGGAGGACCGAAUUACACUCUGCCCUCAUACAUGGUGACAAAGGGUAGCGUAUUUGUCACGACAAGCACAACGACGACGAGCACGCCAUCGACGACGACGGCGAGUACCCCUCGACCAACGUUUUCACCUCCGGAGCCCACGAGGCCGCCAAUCCCGAAGCACAAGCGUGGAAAGGAAUUAACGUUCAUGGAAUCCGGGCACGAAAAGACCUUCAUGUUCGCGCAGAGCAACACGUUCAUCCAGCUGGACGGGAGUGGUAUCAAGACCUUUCAAUUGAGAUUGUGCCGAGAAAUAUCGUUCCAGUUCAGAACGAAGUUGCCGCACGGUCUUCUCGUCUAUCACAGUGUCAAGGAUCGGCCGGAAACUCUCGAUCCCUACGCUCUGUACGUCAUCGUUGAAAAAGGCCAAUUGAAAGUGGUCCACGUGUUUGGCAAGCGCUCGACGAGUUUGACCGUCGGCGAAGGACUCAACAGAGACGAAUGGCACAGCGUACUUGUCAGAAUAGACGUGCACGGUGCCAAAUUGAUCGCCAGAGUCGACGACACCCAGGAGGAAACUACUCUUCAAGUUUUGGAGCGAAUCGUCAAUUAUGGAGUCUCGGAGGAACUUGCUUCCGUCGUUCUAAUCGGAGGUUUGAGCUCCGAGGAACGUUUGCACGGGGUCAAAUACAUAAUCGAAUCUUUCGUUGGCUGUAUCCGGGACAUGGUACUGAGCUCGGGAAAAUCGGCCAGUGAUUUAUUGCCGAUCAGGCCUCUGAUAGCGACGAAACACGAGAACGUGAAGGAAGGCUGCAUCGACAAGUGCUGGACGAGGGAAAAUCUCUGCUUCGUUGGUAGCCAGUGCGUCAAUCAUUACAACAGUUUGACCUGCGAUUGUUUCGGAACGUACUACGAGGGAGAAAGAUGCGAUGUUUACACUGCAACGAUUUUGACCCUGCGAGGUUCGUCGUACGUGUCUUUCCGGGUCUACGAUUGGAAAGAUCGUGUUCAUUCCUCCGUUAACCGGAUAAGCCUAAUGUUCAAGACGAGAUGGGACGACUCGGUGUUAUUUUAUGCGUCCGGUGAGAUCGACGGCACUCCGCAUUACGUGGCAGCGGCGAUAAUGCAGCGAAAAGUUCACGUCGAGCUCGACUUUGGUCACGGAGCGAAAAUAAAGACCGUCAUGGGCGAUCACGUGUCCUCAAACCACUGGAGCAACUUGACCAUUUUUCACAACGCUUCUCUCGUUUACGUGAGCCUCGAUUUCGAGACGAAAGUUCUCGAGGUACCCGGCGACAAUUACAACAUGAUCAUCGAUCCUGAAAUUUACAUCGGCGGUGGGCCCGAGCUCAACAAAAAACGAGGCCUCGUAUCCUACAAUAAUUUUGCCGGGGCCCUAAAAUACGUGUUUUUCAAUGAUAAAUCCAUCAUUUACGAACUCAAACGAUCCAACCCUAUGGUACAUUACAUCGGCGUCCUCGAGCCCGAAUACUACGAGGCUGACGUCGAUGUAAUUCCCAUCACUUAUCCUUUCGCCGGCAGCCACAUCUGGUGGCCCGUCAAUAGCACCGAUUCUUUGCACCUCAACUUUGACUUUAAAAGCUCCAAACCCAUCGCCGUCGUCGCAUCCGGCGAUGUGAAGAGCGAUCAGGGCCCAGGAUAUUGGGAGCUCCGUUUGGUCAACGACGAGAUCCGGUUUCAACUGAUUCCCAUACUGUCGGACAACAUAACAGUUUCGGCAGCAGUUAAAUUUCCGCCUUACAACACAUCGUGGCACGCCGUUGAGCUGAAUUACACGAAGGGCGAGCUCAGCAUACUCGUCGAUUAUCGGAACAAGCAGAGCAAACUUUUCGCAAUGACUUUCGAGCUCGGUAGCAAGGUCAUUAUUGGAAGUGGAAAGAGCAAUGCGGGUCUGAUCGGUUGCAUGCGAGACAUAAAGGUCAACAACGAGGUUAUUGAGCCGAGAUAUGUGAUCAACACUGAGAGAGUCGUGGGUGAAGUUGCUCUGGAUAAUUGCCAAUUCGUUGAUCCGUGUAAGAGGCCGAAUACGUGUGAGCACGGUGGCAAAUGUUCCGUCAAGGAGAACAGGAUAAAUUGCGAUUGCACUGAGACCGGUUACAUAGGAAAAAAUUGUCAUUUCGCGCAGCACAGAAAAACUUGCGAAGAACUGGCUUUGCUCGGUUACACGAAGGAUGACGUGUACAAAAUUGACAUUGAUGGAAACGGAAGGUUCCCACCGGCUCUUGUCAAGUGUGAAUUUCAAUCGAUCGAAGAUUCGACGAAAACUAUCGUCGAGCAUAAUUUGCCGUCGCAGGUUGACGUUAGAUCCAUCGGCGAGGAAGAUUUUUCUUUCAACAUUACAUACCGACAAUUUUCGGCGGAAAUGCUGCAGGAAUUGAUAUCCCACUCGCUUUAUUGCAGUCAGUAUAUUAAAUACGAUUGUUAUCGAGCACCGUUGGAACUCCAUAGCGCAACGUGGUUUUUCGGAUCGAAAAAGUCAUCGAUCGUCGAUUACAUUGGCAACGUUAACCGAGGCUCGUGUCCUUGUGGCAUGAACAGAACAUGCGUUAAUCCGGAUUUGAGCUGCAAUUGCGACGUUUCCGCCGGUAAAUGGCUGUCGGAUGAAGGCUAUUACGAGAGCCCCGAUUCUCUUGGCAUUACUGGAAUGGUUUUUCUGCAACCGAAGGAUCUCGUCGAAGAUGCCCAAGGAAGAAUAACCCUCGGACCCCUCGAAUGCGUCGAAACCAACACUCAAAAAUACGUCGUGACUUUCACCACGUCACAGUCGUACAUCGAAGUUCCGGGCUGGCGAAAAGGCGACAUAGCAUUCAGUUUCCGUACGACUGGAGAAAAAGCAAUUUUGCUGUAUCAGCCACCGAUUCGUAGCAAUUAUCCUUCGUUCAUGGUCGCACUCGCUUCGGACUACAGGCUCACCUUCAAUUUCACUCUCAACACUGGCACCAACCGUGAGCUUGAGGUUAUAAGUCGGCGAAAAUUGAACAAUGGCGAGUGGCAGAAAAUUUGGAUCGAUUACAACGAUUAUCAUGUGAGAUUCAUGAUCAACACGGAUUUUCAAAUGGUUGAUCUGCUACCGGAAGAAGAAUUCGGACCUUUCGAGGGUUCGAUGUUUAUUGGCGGAGCGACGGCUGAGCACCUGAAAACGUCAGCUGUAAGACAAGGUCUCAUCGGCUGUUUCCGAGGAUUGGUCGUCAACGGCGAGAUACUGGACAUUCACAGUUACAUGUCGGUGCACUUAUCCGAAAUAAUAAAAGAUUGUAAACCUUCGUGUCAACCGAACAAGUGCCAGAACGGUGCUCGCUGCGUCGAACUCUGGAGCAAUUUUGAAUGCGUUUGCGAAAACAGAUGGGCCCAUCUGGGAACUUUCUGCGAGACGAAUAUAAACAGCAAAGCACUGACGUUCACGUCAACGGGGGCAUUUUUGAAGAAGAAUUAUUUCGGUACUGGCGAGGACGAAGAAAAAGUAUUGCUGAAAAGCAUGCUAGUUCAGAACAUUCUCAUCAAUUUGAGGACUUACGAUACACACUCGUUGAUUCUGUACGCCAAUGAUCAUCUCAAUAAUUUUGUUCAUCUUUACAUAAGCAAUGGAACGAGUAUCGUUUAUCUCUUCAAUGCCGGAAAUGAAAUAAAAAAUAUAACAGUUCAUCAUCCAGGUGUAAACACAGGAAUAUCGGUGCAAAUAGCAAUUGUCAGAAGCGAAAAUUCUACGACUCUUCACGUUAAUGAAAAUAACGUAACGCUCGAUGCCGUUCCCCUGCUUCUUGAUUCUUAUUCCAACAAGCCAUGGAUCAAUCCGGAAAAAGAAGUUUUAGCUCCGCAAAGACCGCCAGCUCCACCGACCGAUUAUUUCCAGGUGAACCUCGGUGGGUUCGAUCCCGACAACUUGUUACGUGUCGGAAGCGAAGGAACUCUAAUCCAGGGUUACGUCGGAUGCCUCCGUGGUUUAAUGAUCGGGGAAUACCUCGUUGAUUUGCCGAAUUUAGCGAGCGAGGCUAAUCACGAGGGUAGCAAAGGCGUAUUGCCCAAUUGUCAGAUGAAAUGCGACGCUGUACCGUGCAAGAAUUUGGGCGUGUGCACCGAAGACUUCGGCAGACAGGAAUCUUCUUGCAACUGCGCUCUCACGUCCUAUUUCGGGGAACAUUGUGCAGACGAGAAAGGUGCCGAUUUCAGUGGCGAGAGCGUAUUACAACGAGACUUUGAAUUCGAGGGCGAAAUCAAUCAGGUCAAAGUUCAAUUGGCAUUCUCGACCAAUGAUCUCCGUCAAAGAACGAGCGCUCUUUUAUUGUUACAAACUGAGAAUAAAAGAAGUUAUUACCUGCUCGUCGCCCUAACGUCGGAAGGUCAACUGAUAUUCGAAGAGGACAGAGAAGGCUCGGCCUACGGCGUCCGUCUGAACGACCGGAACUUCCUCAACGGAGCACGACACAGCGUUUAUUACGUUCGUGACAAUAAUACGGCUACGUUAUUGAUCGAUCGAGAACCUGUGCAACUGCUGCCAAUUCCCGUUCUGAAUAUCGGCGACGAUGACGACGAGGAGGAAACGGAAUCGCUGGGAGCAACGGAAAUUCAACUGGGUGGUUUGAACACGACUGAUCAACGGUUCAGCGCUUACAAGGGCUACACCGGUUGCCUCAGCAAUGUGGUUGUAUCUAUGAACGGAGCUGCUGGAAUGAAGCCCCUCGAGGAAUACAUGCUCUUUACGAAAAAAGGUAGCGAGACUGUCCGAGCAACGAUGCCAGCUGGUGUUCGGAGUGCCCAGUGUGCGGUAUUCCACACUUCAACGAAAGGCAUCGAGCCACCACGAAACGACAGCGUGCAAGGUCGUGAUCGGGCCUGGGUCGAGGACCCACCGGAACGAGUUCUCUACAAGUCGCUCUACCCGGACGAGACGAAGGAGGAACAAGGAGCUGGAACGUACAUUUUUAUAGCGCUCUGUUGCAUUUUCGUGGCCGCUGUCGUUGGCUGCACUUACGAAGUGCUUCGCAGCGCUGGACGCGAUCGAAAGCGCAGGAGAGCUGCCGCAAGUGCAGCGAACGGCAGCGGCGGUGGUGGUGGUGGUUCGCCUUCGGGUACUCAAAGGUGGCAACAACCCCUGACACCGUCAGGGGCCACUAAGAGCGUAGGAUUUAAAACGAAUGUCGAAAAUGACAAACGACCGAAUGGGACGCACGCGAAAAGCAUUCCAAAGGAUUACAAGCCUGUGCCGAAUUCGGAACACAAAAACGAUCCGGUCAACGACAAAAAAGUUCUCGCUAAAGAUGAAGAAGCGGAGAAAAAGGAGCUGCUAGGGGUAAAUACAGGCACCGUCUCUAAACCUGCGAAACCGAAUCCAUUCUCAAUGGAGGAUCUCAGAGAAGAGCCGGAGCUCGAGGAAUGCGAAGAGGAGGACGACGAGGAGAACGAGGAUGAGGAUGAGGAGACUGGCGAAGAGCCGAAAAAAGCAUCGAGCGACAAUGACGAAAAUACACAAACGUUAAACCUCAACGAUACCGACAUAAUCAUAAGGCCAGCGCCGAUUAAAAAUUGGUCUAGAACGAGCAUCGAGGAGAAUGUGAUACCGUUAAACUCCAUUACGAAACCGGAUGAAACACACGGGACCAUACAACUUUAGAGGGGGCGCCGAAUGGAUGCGAAACGAGUGUGGAAUCACGAGACUCGUCAGAACGGGCGAAAAUAAAGAUUCUCAACAUAUCACCAAUCUUUCUUGCGGACGACAAGAGAACUUACGACAAUCCUCUGAGUUAUUUGGGUGGCCCGAGACUGCAAC
rnacentral:misc_RNA from 1 species